rnacentral:rRNA from 1 species
UACGUAGGUGGCAAGCGUUGUCCGGAUUUAUUGGGUUUAAAGGGUGCGUAGGCGGCCCUGUAAGUCAGUGGUGAAAUACUCCAGCUUAACUGGAGGGGUGCCAUUGAUACUGCAGGGCUUGAGUGGAGUCGAAGUAGGCGGAAUUCCCGGUGUAAGGGUGAAAUCUGCAGAGAUCGGGAAGAACACCAGUCGCGAAGGCGCUCUACUGGCUCGAUACUGACGCUGAGGUGCGAAAGCGUGGGGAGCAAACAGG